UACAUAGGUGGCAAGCGUUGUUCGGAAUUAUUGGGCGUAAAGGGCUCGUAGGCGGCUUUCUAAGUCAGACGUGAAAUCCCCCGGCUUAACCUGGGAACUGCGUCUGAUACUGGGAGGCUUGAGUAUGGGAGAGGGAUGUAGAAUUCCAGGUGUAGCGGUGAAAUGCGUAGAUAUCCGGAGGAAUACCGGUGGCGAAGGCGGCAUCCUGGACCAUAACUGACGCUGAGGCGCGAAAGCUAGGGGAGCAAACGGG
rnacentral:rRNA from 1 species